UUCAUAGAAAUCAUUACAAGUUUGAGUGAGAUAACUUUCAUUCAAUUAAAAGGAAAAUGGGUGUAAAUCCCAUGCUGUCCCGCAGCUGUAAAUGAGGAGUUUUGUUUCUAUUACCACUGAGUGAUUACUUGGGAAGGUGAAGCAGAAUCAUGAUUCAUGAGCCAGAAUGCCUGCUUGUAAGGAGAUUCAUUG
rnacentral:ncRNA from 1 species